CACCCCCGAAUCCGUGUGGGGAUGGGGGUGGUACAACCCAAAAACACCCCCAGAUCUGUGUGGGGAUGGGGGUGGUACAACCCAAAAAACACCCCCAGAUCUGUGUGGGGACGGGGGUGGUACAACCCCAAAAUCACCACAUGGAUACAGGGUCAGGGUUGUUGUCACCCCCAAACCCCUCAGGCCAUGGGGGUGACCCCCGGAUCCAUGUGGGGACAGGGUUGUUGUCACACCCCAAAAACUCCUCGUGGAUAUGGGGUUGGGGUUGUCACCUCUUGAACCCUGAAAUUGUGGUGGGGUCGGAGUUGUUGUCACCCCCAAACCGCACAGGCCAUGGGGGUGACCCCAAAAUUGAUUUGGGGAUGCUGUGGUUGUCACCCCCAAACCCCCACAUGGAUACGGGGUCAGGGUUGUUGUCACCCCAAAACCCAAAAUUCUGAUGGAGUCGGUGUUGUUGUCACCCCCAAACCCCACAGGCCGUGGGGGUGACCCCAAAAUUGAUUUGAGGACGGGGUUGUUGUCACCCAAAACCCCCACAUGGAUUUGGGGUCGGGGGUGUCACCCCCAAAACCCAAAAACCCAAAAUUGGCUGUGGGGGUGACGCACGAAUUUCCAUGAGAAAAGGGCUGUCACCCCAAAAAAACCUCUACAGGUUGUGGGGGUGACCCCAAUAUCCAACGGUGGCGGGAUUGUCACCCCCAGAUGGAAAUGGGGUUGGGGUUGUCACCCUCAAAUCCUGAAAUUCCAGUGUGGACAGAGCCGUUGUCACCCCCCAUUGUCACCCGGACUGUUGGGGUGACUCUGGAAUUGAGGUGACACCAAAGGGUGGUGGUGGCCAAAUUUGAGGUCACCCCCAAAGUUGGAAACACCCUCAGGUUUGAGGGGGAACCCCUGAAUUGAACUUUUUGGGGACCCCAAAGUUCACAGGGGGCAACCCCCAAACUGAGGGGGACCCCUAAGCUGGGGAGGACCCCAAAAUUGGGGAGAA
rnacentral:lncRNA from 1 species